rnacentral:ncRNA from 2 species
UAAGUUCACCAGGGGUGCUGACUUUUAGUUGGCUGAGACUUGACCCUUUGAACCUGCUCUGGUUAAUACCUGCGGAGGGAGUGUGAAAGUAAACUUAA